rnacentral:rRNA from 1 species
GACGAACGCUGGCGGCGUGCUUAACACAUGCAAGUCGAACGGAAAGGCCCUGCUUUUGUGGGGUGCUCGAGUGGCGAACGGGUGAGUAACACGUGAGUAACCUGCCCUUGACUUUGGGAUAACUUCAGGAAACUGGGGCUAAUACCGGAUAGGAGCUCCUGCUGCAUGGUGGGGGUUGGAAAGUUUCGGCGGUUGAGGAUGGACUCGCGGCUUAUCAGCUUGUUGGUGGGGUAGGUGCUUACCAAGGCUUUGACGGGUAGCCGGCCUGAGAGGGUGACCGGCCACAUUGGGACUGAGAUACGGCCCAGACUCCUACGGGAGGCAGCAGUGGGGAAUAUUGCACAAUGGGCGGAAGCCUGAUGCAGCAACGCCGCGUGCGGGAUGACGGCCUUCGGGUUGUAAACCGCUUUCGCCUGUGACGAAGCGUGAGUGACGGUAAUGGGUAAAGAAGCACCGGCUAACUACGUG